CCUACGGUCGGCAGCAGUGGGGAAUAUUGCACAAUGGGGGAAACCCUGAUGCAGCGACGCCGCGUGAGUGAAGAAGUAUUUCGGUAUGUAAAGCUCUAUCAGCAGGGAAGAAAAUGACGGUACCUGAUUAAGAAGCCCCGGCUAACUACGUGCCAGCAGCCGCGGGAAUACGUAGGGGGCAAGCGUUAUCCGGAUUUACUGGGUGUAAAGGGAGCGUAGACGGCAGGGCAAGUCGGAUGUGAAAUGCCGGGGCUUAACCCGGGAACUGCUUUGGAAACUGUGCAGCUAGAGUGCAGGAGAGGUAGGUGGAAUUCCUGGUGUAGCGGUGAAAUGCGUAGAUAUUAGGAGGAACACCAGUGGCGAAGGCGGCUUACUGGACUGUAACUGACGUUGAGGCUCGAAAGCGUGGGGAGCAAACAGGAUUAGAUACCCUAGUAGUC
rnacentral:rRNA from 1 species